GGAUUGUGGCUCAGCGGUAGAGUGCUCCCCUAGCAAGGGCGGGAACCGGGUUCGAUCCUCAGCACCA
rnacentral:tRNA from 1 species